UACGUAGGGGGCAAGCGUUAUCCGGAUUUACUGGGUGUAAAGGGGGCGCAGACGGCGCGGCAAGUCCGGAGUGAAAUCCCAGGGCCCAACCCUGGGGCUGCUCUGGAAACUGCCGGGCUGGAGUGCAGGAGGGGCAGGCGGAAUUCCUAGUGUAGCGGUGAAAUGCGUAGAUAUUAGGAGGAACACCGGUGGCGAAGGCGGCCUGCUGGACAGCGACUGACGUUGAGGCCCGAAAGCGUGGGUAUCAAACAGG
rnacentral:rRNA from 1 species